rnacentral:rRNA from 1 species
UACGUAGGGGGCUAGCGUUGUCCGGAUUUAUUGGGCGUAAAGAGCGUGUAGGCGGCCAGGUAGGUCUGGUGUGAAAACUCGAGGCUUAACCUCGAGAUGUCAUCGGAAACCAUCUGGCUAGAGUCCGGAAGAGGAGAGUGGAAUUCCUGGUGUAGCGGUGAAAUGCGCAGAUAUCAGGAAGAACACCAAUGGCGAAAGCAGCUCGCUGGGACGGUACUGACGCUAAGGCGCGAAAGCGUGGGGAGCGAACGAGGA